rnacentral:lncRNA from 1 species
CAUUGGAGGGUGGACACUUGGACACUUCAUGGAAAUUGGAUUAGCAUUAUAGGUAUUCUUUUAAUCCAAAUUUAUUUUAUUGUACUUUGAUUGAUAUAGUCAAGAGUUUCUGAGCAUUAGGAUUUUCGAUGCAUCAGGUGUUUUUAAUAAAAAUUUUAAAUACCUAAUCCUUCCGCUGUGCCACCGUAACACAUCAACAAAAGAGAGAGUUUUUUGGUGUGAGAAACCUCUAAGUUGGGGUGU